UGAUACGUAGGGUGCGAGCGUUGUCCGGAUUUAUUGGGCGUAAAGGGCUCGUAGGUGGUUGAUCGCGUCGGAAGUGUAAUCUUGGGGCUUAACCCUGAGCGUGCUUUCGAUACGGGUUGACUUGAGGAAGGUAGGGGAGAAUGGAAUUCCUGGUGGAGCGGUGGAAUGCGCAGAUAUCAGGAGGAACACCAGUGGCGAAGGCGGUUCUCUGGGCCUUUCCUGACGCUGAGGAGCGAAAGCGUGGGGAGCGAACAGGCUUAGAUACCCUGGUAGUCCACGCUGUAAACGGUGGGUACUAGGUGU
rnacentral:rRNA from 1 species